GGAGCGGACUGAAAGAAUCCGAAAGCGGUGGUUCAAACCUAACCCGUUGCACUACUGUCGUGCCUUCCCCUAGUACUAGCUUUACGCUUAUUUGGAGGGGGAAGGGGAAUAUUAGUCAACAUAAUAAACAUGGCUAAUAUUCUUU